rnacentral:rRNA from 1 species
CGGCGACCGGCGCACGGGUGAGUAACACGUAUCCAACCUGCCCUUUACUCGGGGAUAGCCUUUCGAAAGAAAGAUUAAUACCCGAUAGUAUAAUGAUUCCGCAUGGUUUCAUUAUUAAAGGAUUCCGGUAAAGGAUGGGGAUGCGUUCCAUUAGGUUGUUGGUGAGGUAACGGCUCACCAAGCCUUCGAUGGAUAGGGGUUCUGAGAGGAAGGUCCCCCACAUUGGAACUGAGACACGGUCCAA